UUUAUAUUAUCAAUCUUUUUUUUUUUUUCCAUCAGAUUCCAGCAUACAAUACUGUCUCAUCAAGAACCAACCAUCGAAGUACUGCGCUUCAAUCAUCACCUAGAAUUUGCUACGGUCGUACCAUCCGGAUAUACCCCUGAUGAAGGGACCACUCAUAUGUCCCGAAAAAGCAUCUGGUGGAUCAAUGACCACACUCAUCGACUCAUUAUCGUAUCACUGCACAUUGUUUUGUUAAAUUCAUUGUUGGUGUCUCCUACACCAUUUUUAUAUUUAUAUACUUUUUCAUUAAAUUAUAUAUUUUUAAUUA